AAGCACAAAGGUUUGGUCCUGGCCUUACUGUUAAUUUUUAUUAGACCUACACAUGCAAGUUUCCGCAACCCGGUGAGUAUGCCCUUUUUAACUUCCAUUGAGUUUAAAGGAGCUGGUAUCAGGGACAUUUACAAAAGUAGCCCAUGACACCUUGUUUAACCACACCCCCACGGGUUACAGCAGUGACUAACAUUGAGCUAUAAACGAAACUUUGACUAAAUCAUAAUAAAAAGGGUUGGUAAAUCUCGUGCCAGCCACCGCGGUCAUACGAUUAACCCAAAUUAACAGAAGAAUGGCGUAAAGGGUGUUUAAGCAUUCAAUCCACCAAAUAAAGUUAAAGCUCAACUGCGCUGUAAUACGCCCUAGUUGAUAUUAAAAUACGCAACUUACGUGACUUGACCCAUGCUGAAGACACUAAAGCUAAGACACAAACUGGGAUUAGAGACCCCACUAUUCUUAGCCAUAAACUGAGGUAAUGAAAUAACAAGAUUACUCACCAAGUAACUACUAGCCACUGCUUAAAACUCAAAGGACAUGGCGGUGCCCUAAACCCCCUAGAGGAGCCUGUUCUAUAAUUGACAAACCCCAAUACACCUCACCCCUUCUUGCUAACUCAGUCUAUAUACUACCAUUGUCAGCUCACCCCAAUAGAGACCCAAAGUGAGCAAAAUCAUGAAACCAUAAAAACAUUAGGUCAAGGUGUAGCAUAUUUGGGGGGGGGGCAAUGGGCUACAUUUUCUAUCCUAGAAUAUAACGAAUGAUCUAUUGAAACAAAGAUAUGAAGGAAGAUUUAGAAGUAAAUUAAGGAUAGAGAGCUUAAUUGAAAUAGGCAAUAGGCUGCACACACCACCAUCACCCUCCUCAGCAAAGUAACAAUAUAUACCUAAUAACACUAAAUCAUAAAGAGUAGAAAAGUCGUAACACGGUAAGUAUACUGGAAAGUGUACUUGGAUUAUCAAAAUG
rnacentral:ncRNA from 1 species